rnacentral:tRNA from 1 species
GGGCCUGUAGCUCAGUUGGGAGAGCACUACACUCGCACUGUAGGGGUCAGGAGUUCGAGUCUCCUUAGGUCCA